CAGUCGCCACGGUAAUACGAAGGGGGCUAGCGUUGUUCGGAUUUACUGGGCGUAAAGGGCGCGUAGGCGGACUGAUAAGUCAGGGGUGAAAUCCCAAGGCUCAACCUUGGAACUGCCUUUGAUACUGGCUGUCUUGAGUAUGAGAGAGGUGUGUGGAACUCCGAGUGUAGAGGUGAAAUUCGUAGAUAUUCGGAAGAACACCAGUGGCGAAGGCGACACACUGGCUCAUUACUGACGCUGAGGCGCGAAAGCGUGGGGAGCAAACAGGAUUAGAUACCCCCGUAGUCCCUGUCUCUUAUAC
rnacentral:rRNA from 1 species